CAGCCGCCACGGGAAUACGUAGGUGGCAAGCGUUGUCCGGAAUUAUUGGGCGUAAAGCGCGCGCAGGUGGUUCCUUAAGUCUGAUGUGAAAGCCCACGGCUCAACCGUGGAGGGUCAUUGGAAACUGGGGGACUUGAGUGCAGAAGAGGAAAGUGGAAUUCCAAGUGUAGCGGUGAAAUGCGUAGAUAUUUGGAGGAACACCAGUGGCGAAGGCGACUUUCUGGUCUGUAACUGACACUGAGGCGCGAAAGCGUGGGGAGCAAACAGGAUUAGAUACCCCGGUAGUCCCUGUCUCUUAUAC
rnacentral:rRNA from 1 species